rnacentral:tRNA from 2 species
UCCGAAUUAGUGUAGGGGUUAACAUAACUCGCUUUCAUCAUCACAUGAUUUCACAACCAUGUGAUCUGGAGCCGAGUAGCCCCGGGUUCGAUUCCCGGAUUCGGAA